AUCUAUAGCCACACUAUUGUGAAUGAACCUCAUCUCAUCUGAUCUUGGAAGCUAAGCAGGAUCUGGCUUGGUUAGUACUUGAAUGGGGGACAAGGACAUGGUUCACUAUGGCUU
ensembl:rRNA 5S_rRNA 5S ribosomal RNA